GUGGGGAAUCUUGCGCAAUGGGCGAAAGCCUGACGCAGCCAUGCCGCGUGAAUGAUGAAGGUCUUAGGAUUGUAAAAUUCUUUCACCGGGGACGAUAAUGACGGUACCCGGAGAAGAAGCUCCGGCUAACUUCGUGCCAGCAGCCGCGGUAAUACGAAGGGGGCUAGCGUUGCUCGGAAUUACUGGGCGUAAAGGGCGCGUAGGCGGACAACUUAGUCAGAGGUGAAAGCCCAGGGCUCAACCUUGGAAUUGCCUUUGAUACUGGCUGUCUUGAGUUUGGGAGAGGUGAGUGGAACUCCGAGUGUAGAGGUGAAAUUCGUAGAUAUUCGGAAGAACACCAGUGGCGAAGGCGACUCACUGGCCCAAUACUGACGCUGAGGCGCGAAAGCGUGGGGAGCAAACAGGAUUAGAUACCCCGGUAGUCC
rnacentral:rRNA from 1 species